rnacentral:snRNA from 1 species
GUGCUGGCUUCGGCAGCACAUAUGCCAACAUCGGAAUGAUACAGAGAAGAUUAGCAUGGCCCACGCCCAAGGAUGAGUACAAAUCCCUGAAGGGUUCCUUAUUUAA